rnacentral:tRNA from 1 species
GUGGAGAUGGCUCAGUNGGUAAGAGCACUUGCAUUAUAAGCCUGAGGAUCUGAGUUCAAAACCCCAGCAUCCACA